rnacentral:rRNA from 1 species
UACGAAGGGGGCUAGCGUUGCUCGGAAUCACUGGGCGUAAAGCGCACGUAGGCGGAUUGUUAAGUCAGGGGUGAAAUCCUGGAGCUCAACUCCGGAAUUGCCUUUGAAACUGUCAGGCUCGAGUACGGGAGAGGUGAGUGGAAUUCCCAGUGUAGAGGUGAAAUUCGUAGAUAUUGGGAAGAACACCGGUGGCGAAGGCGGCUCACUGGCCCGUUUCUGACGCUCAGGCGCGACAGCGUGGGGAGCGAACAGG